UGAAAAUAGCUCGAAAAAAAGAUAUAAUUCUAUAAUCGUCGUCACUUUCGUCUGAGUGUCAACUGAAAUGCCUGCAGACAAGGCAGAUAGUUCUGCUGUUUCUUUUUUCUUGAUCAACCGGUGGGAGAAGCUUGAAUAAAUUAAUGAUAUUAAACUCAUUAUUUUCAAGUGCCACUUCCGAGUUUCCCCCUUGUGUGUUUCCUUCUUUCUCAUGUCUCCCUUGUACUGCAAUCUCGGCCGGCCAGCCUUGUUGUAGCUCAAGCUGCUUUCGUUCAAUUUGCAGUCGAAGUCUAAGCUCAAAUGCCAUAAGAAAAUCAGACGGAAACUCAGAAUUAGGAGAAAGUUUUGAGAAUAGCUCCGAAAAAAUCUAAUUUUGUAAUCCUCAGCACUUUCGUCUGAGAGUUUUUCGAUUGAAAUGCCACUAAAA
rnacentral:lncRNA from 1 species